GUGCCAGCAGCCGCGGUAAUACGUAGGUCCCGAGCGUUGUCCGGAUUUAUUGGGCGUAAAGCGAGCGCAGGCGGUUUGAUAAGUCUGAAGUUAAAGGCUGUGGCUCAACCAUAGUUCGCUUUGGAAACUGUCAAACUUGAGUGCAGAAGGGGAGAGUGGAAUUCCAUGUGUAGCGGUGAAAUGCGUAGAUAUAUGGAGGAACACCGGUGGCGAAAGCGGCUCUCUGGUCUGUAACUGACGCUGAGGCUCGAAAGCGUGGGGAGCGAAC
rnacentral:rRNA from 1 species